AACAUGCAGUCGUACAGGUACCAGAGCUUGUUCUUUGGUGACUAGUGGCGUUACUUGUGUAGUAAUGUCUGGGAAACUGCCUGAUGGAGGGGGAUAACUACUGGAAACGGUAGCUAAUACCGAAUAACGUCGCAAGACCAAAGAGGGGGACCUUCGGGCCUCUUGCCAUCAGAUGUGCCCAGAUGGGAUUAGCUAGUAGGUGGGGUAACGGCUCACCUAGGCGACGAUCCCUAGCUGGUCUGAGAGGAUGACCAGCCACACUGGAACUGAGACACGGUCCAGACUCCUACGGGAGGCAGCAGUGGGGAAUAUUGCACAAUGGGCGCAAGCCUGAUGCAGCCAUGCCGCGUGUAUGAAGAAGGCCUUCGGGUUGUAAAGUACUUUCAGCGGGGAGGAAGGCGAUAAGGUUAAUAACCUUGUCAAUUGACGUUACCCGCAGAAGAAGCACCGGCUAACUCCGUGCCAGCAGCCGCGGUAAUACGGAGGGUGCAAGCGUUAAUCGGAAUUACUGGGCGUAAAGCGCACGCAGGCGGUCUGUCAAGUCGGAUGUGAAAUCCCCGGGCUCAACCUGGGAACUGCAUUCGAAACUGGCAGGCUGGAGUCUUGUAGAGGGGGGUA
rnacentral:rRNA from 1 species